CCUACGGGUGGCAGCAGUAGGGAAUCUUUCACAAUGGGCGAAAGCCUGAUGGAGCAACGCCGCGUGCAGGAUGAAGGCCUUCGGGUUGUAAACUGCUUUUGUGAGAGAAGAUAAUGACGGUAUCCCACGAAUAAGCCCCGGCCAAAGUCGUGCCCGCAGCCGCGGUAAUACGGAGGGUGCCAGCGUUACUCGGAAUCACUGGGGGUAAAGAGUGCGCCGGCGGGCUUGUAAGUCAGAUGUGAAAGCCUGUAGCCUAACUACGGGACUGCAUUUGGAACUGUGAGUCUAGAGUGUGGGAGGGGUAGGUGGAAUUCUUGGUGUAGGGGUAAAAUGCGUAGAUAUCAAGAGGAAUACUCGUGGCGAAGGCGACCUACUGGAACAUGACUGACGCUGAGGCACGAAAGCGUGGGGAGCAAACAGGAUUAGAUACCCCUGUAGUC
rnacentral:rRNA from 1 species